AGGCAUGUCUGGGUCCAGCUGUGUGACGGCUGCACUAGGAAACACCUGGAGUCAUAGUGUGAACACCCGGCUGAUUUUCCAGUAUCUCAACUCAGAGAGAAGACAGAUUCUCAUUGCUAAGUCCCCUCUGGCUCCCUUCAGCUCAUUUGUCUACACCAUCAAGGAGGAAGGCCUGGUUCUGCAAGGCCAACAGAGGCCAUAGGGAUACUGUGACCUUUGUCUAGAGCUGAUGGGGGCGUGAUUUGUGAAAUAAAACAGGACUACACUGCUUGGAAGAAGGAAACGGAAGCCAACAUAAUGGGGAUUAAUUAGUUGAUUGCUGUUGAGAUGGUAACAGAUUUGCUCCUGGACCAUUGAGCCGGCGACUGCAGACCUAGCAGGGAAGGUGAAGACGAAGACGCUUUUGUUCCAGCCUCUGGAUGUGCGGGGCGAGGGCUUUGCUGCCAUGAAAUGUCAACAGCCAUAAUAAUAAUAAUUUGCACUUAUAUGGCACCUUUCAACUGGGCACCUCAAAGCAGUUUAACCACAUUAAUUAAUUAAAGCCCACAGUACCCCUGGGGAGAAGAGGAGGAUGACUAACAAGAUUUGUAAUUACAGGAGGGAACGUUUUCAAAUAAAGUAUUGUCUACCA